AUGCAGAUACCAAACGAGCUUCCUGGGAUGGGCAGCUGCUCCCAACCCCGCCCGUCUGCUGCCCCGGAUCAGACACCAUCGCAGGAGAGGAAGCUGCUGUGUGACGAAUCCUGCCACGUGGCAUCACACUGCUGCCCAGGCCACCGUGCCCUCCGCCACCCAGGUCCACCAGCUUCUCCAAGCCAGCCUCCCAGGGCUGCCCCUCUCCAUCUCCAUGAAGGGGAUCAAGAAGAUCCGAGGUCCCCUGAAGCUCCUCGCUGCCCCGUGAUGCAGAGCCCACCCUGCCCCCCUGGGCCAGCGAGGGCCUUAUCACUGGAUCUGGUGGGCUUGUCUCCUGGCUUCUGUUCUGUGUUCUUCCACAUUGGCUCAGCCAGAGGAAAAUGGAAAUCUGUGAUUUUUGUAAACACAUUUAAAUCAGCCACACAGAUUAUAAAACAUAAAUUUGGGGGAUCCCUGGGUGGUGCAGCGGUUUGGCGCCUGCCUUUGGCCCAGGGCGCGAUCCUGGAGACCCGGGAUCGAAUCCCACGUCGGGCUCCCGGUGCAUGGAGCCUGCUUCUCCCUCUGCCUAUGUCUCUGCUUCUCUCUCUCUGUGACUAUCAUAAAUAAGUUAAAAAAAAACACACACAAAAAAAACAUAAAUUUGGCUCAUGGAAUUCAUCGUUUGUGGUGGUUACAAUGAAUAGAGCAAACAUUUCUUGAAAGUGGAAUAUGAGAACCUAGCACUUCUUUGGCUAAGUGAUCCCUGCAUCCUUCCUCAAUAUUCCUUCCCAGGCACCAUAUCACUGCCUGUAAGUCCCAAAAUAGCCUGGUCUGAGCCCUGUGGCCUCACGCCUGCCCACCUCUCUUCCUAGAGUGAAAAGAGAGGGAAGGGGGACCUUCCUCUGGUGGGUUGGGACUGGCCUCCCAGGAGUUUCCUUGUGUGAGGAUUUCAUAGCUCCGGGAGGGUGAAGCCAGGGGGCUUUGGGGUCCGCUGAGCCCGUCGCCUUCCCUCUCAGACCUACUCCUCCUCCUGUUCCAUGAAUAGAUCCCUACCCUUCAGCUUCCUGCACUCC
rnacentral:lncRNA from 12 species